GGGAUGGACACCAUCAAUGGCUCAAAAGAACGGUACAGCCUAAGAAAGGGAAGAAACAGAGGGGCUGAAGCAGCAGUGACAGCAAAAUGGACACGUAAACAGCACACGAAGGGAAAACGGUGGUCACCGUUUUCUAUCUCAGCUUCAUAAUCCUGACAUCAAGCAUCUUCACGUCUCUCACACCUCCUUGAUCCUAGCUUCAGCAUGAUCAAGAGUCUACAAGUCUUUACACCUGCAUAUUCCUUUUGUUGCCACCCCCAUACCUAACUGGAGAGCAGAGGCUUUAAUGAACAAGGUAAGAGUGAAGCUCUGGUUAAAGGUUUGCAUUUCAUACUUGACAAGUUCAUUUAAACCAUGCCUAAAAGCAUUCCCUUGUCUUCUCAGUGACACACACGUAUAUUCUAACACGUGCCCUUACAAAACACACACAAUGAACCCCAGCUGGCACUGAGUUCCGUCACAGGGGAACAUCGUAUAGAAGAGCUGAAUUUAAGUAGACACUGUGGAUGACCUACAGAAAUGGAAUGAAGGCAACUUAUUUCAGCUGGAUUUAAUAUACAGUCUUCUUAACGAGAUAAGAACUAC